rnacentral:rRNA from 1 species
AGCGAACGCUGGCGGCAGGCCUAACACAUGCAAGUCGAACGAACUCUUCGGAGUUAGUGGCGGACGGGGGAGUAACACGUGGGAACGUGCCUUUAGGUUCGGAAUAACUCAGGGAAACUUGUGCUAAUACCGAAUGUGCCCUUCGGGGGAAAGAUUUAUCGCCUUUCGAGCGGCCCGCGUCUGAUUAGCUAGUUGGUGAGGUAAAGGCUCACCAAGGCGACGAUCAGUAGCUGGUCUGAGAGGAUGAUCAGCCACAUUGGGACUGAGACACGGCCCAAACUCCUACGGGAAGCAGCAGUGGGGAAUCUUGCGCAAUGGGCGAAAGCCUGACGCAGCCAUGCCGCGUGAAUGAUGAAGGUCUUAGGAUUGUAAAAUUCUUUCACCGGGGACGAUAAUGACGGUACCCGGAGAAGAAGCCCCGGCUAACUUCGUG